GACCUCAAAUCAGGUAGGGUACCCGC
rnacentral:rRNA from 1 species